ACCCGCUGAACUUAAGCAUAUCAAUAAGCGGAGGAAAAGAAACCAACAGGGAUUGCCCUAGUAACGGCGAGUGAAGCGGCAACAGCUCAAAUUUGAAAUCUGGCUCUUUUAGAGUCCGAGUUGUAAUUUGCAGAGGGCGCUUUGGCUUUGGCAGCGGUCCAAGUUCCUUGGAACAGGACGUCACAGAGGGUGAGAAUCCCGUACGUGGUCGCUGGCUAUUGCCGUGUAAAGCCCCUUCGACGAGUCGAGUUGUUUGGGAAUGCAGCUCUAAAUGGGAGGUACAUUUCUUCUAAAGCUAAAUAUUGGCCAGAGACCGAUAGCGCACAAGUAGAGUGAUCGAAAGAUGAAAAGCACUUUGGAAAGAGAGUCAAACAGCACGUGAAAUUGUUGAAAGGGAAGCGCUUGCAGCCAGACUUGCUUACAGUUGCUCAUCCGGGUUUCUACCCGGUGCACUCUUCUGUAGGCAGGCCAGCAUCAGUUUGGGCGGUAGGAUAAAGGUCUCUGUCACGUACCUCCUUUCGGGGAGGCCUUAUAGGGGAGACGACAUACUACCAGCCUGGACUGAGGUCCGCGCAUCUGCUAGGAUGCUGGCGUAAUGGCUGUAAGCGGCCCGUCUUGAAACACGGACCAAGGAG
rnacentral:rRNA from 1 species